GUCUAUGGCCAUGCCACCCUGAACAAGGCCCAUCCCGUCUGAUCUCAGAAGCUAAGCAGGGUCAGGCCUGGUUAGUACUUGGAUGGGAGACCACCUAGGAAGACCGGGUGCUGUAGGAG
rnacentral:rRNA from 1 species